AUGUUUCCGGUAGAAACAAGGCACAACAUCAAGGUGCGGCUUCAAUGAAUUAAUGGCAACAUUUCCUUCGCUCUGGUUGCCAUUUAUAUUUGGAAAAGGCACGUCUGUAUACGUAAUUUUCAGACAACACAUAUUCUUAGGCCUUUAAAUAGUACCUGAAAGUCGGAGGGGUGUGGCCACGGGUGUGUUGACGCCACCAGAGUCUCUGAGGGAAGUCACGGCAGCUGCAGCAGGACAGAAGCUCUGCUGAGCUCCGGACUUGGAGAGCAAGAAUUCACCGAAAAUUAACAAGAUGGGACUUUUAUCAGAUCCCAACAGAAGACAGGCAGUGAUUCGCCUGCUCACGCGCCUCAAUGCUCCAAUCUGUCUUGUGUGCUACUUGGCCGGUGUCGCUUGGUUCAUGGGUUUAGCAUUCGAGCCCUUCACCCUGCGCACCUACAUGUCAGAGAAUGCCAUGGGUUCCACCAUGGUGGAGGAGCACUUCCCAGCCGGAGAGAAGGCUCUGGUCACAGCAAGGGAGUUUGCGGCACAUAAGAAAAAACAAGAUGGGAUGCCUGUGAACUGGCUGGUGAAAACCAUGCAGGAUCGAGGCCUGGAAGUCUUCACACAGACAUUUUCUCGCACUCUCCCAUUCCCGGAUGAAAACAAAGAGCGAUUUAUGGUGAAAGGCACAAACGUGUACGGCAUCCUUCGGGCACCUCGAGCACCACGGACCGAAGCUCUGGUGCUGACAGCUCCCUGCAGCCCAGGCAAUGCCAACAACCAGGCUGUAGGGUUGCUGCUCGUUUUGGCACAGUACUUCAGAAACCAGGUGUACUGGGCCAAGGACAUCAUCUUUCUGGUCAAUGAACACGAUUUGAUUGGCAUGCAGGCCUGGCUGGAAGGCUACCACCACACUAACACUACAGGAAUGGACUGGUCCCCACUUCAAGGCCGGGCCGGUUCCAUCCAAGCAGCCCUGUCUCUGGAGCUCAGCUCUGAUGUGGUGACCAGUUUGGACAUUGUGCUGGAGGGACUCAACGGGCAGCUUCCCAAUCUGGACCUUACCAACCUCUUCUACGCGUUCUGUCAGAAAAUUGGGGUCCUUUGCACCAUUCAAGGAAAGCUGCAGAGGAAUGACUGGGACAGUGCUUCAGGCUACAGCCACGCCGUGCAGACUUUGAUGCUGAUGGUGCUUAAGCAGGCCAGCGGGCGGCCCUGGGGCGACCACGGUCUUUUCCUGCGCUACCACAUCGAGGCCGCCACCAUCAAAGGCAUCAACAGCUUCCGUCAGUACAAGACAGACGCCACUACCGUCGGCAGGCUCUUGGAGGGAAUGUACCGCAAGCUCAACAACCUGCUGGAGCGACUGCACCAGUCAUACUUCUUCUACCUGCUGCCUUCACUAUCUCAUUUUGUCUCCAUUGGUUACUACAUGCCAGCAUUUGGUCUGCUGGCUGUCAUCCUGCUGCUGCGUGCCUUGGAUCUGUGGGUGCAACUGGCCGCUGCGCCCCCAGCAUCAGAAGACGGUGUGGCUGAUGCGGAGCAGGCCAGUCCUGGUGGGCUGUCUGUGAUGACCCCUCUGGUGAUCAGCCACCUGACAGGAGCGGCACUGUAUGCACUGCCAAUCUGCUUCCAGGAGAUGGCAGUAGAGCACUUCCCUGUGUCAGAGACUGAGGCGGUGGUGCUGACGGCCAUUGCUAUUUACACUGCAGGCCUGGCUUUGCCUCAUAACACACACAGGUUGGUGUCGGGUGAGGGUACAGAGCAGGGUUGGAGAGUCCUCAAGCUGGUGGCUCUGUUGUACCUGGCUGUCCUGCUGGGCUGCACCGCCCUCAUCAACUUCUCUCUCGGCUUCAUUCUGGCCCUCACGAUGGUGCCCGUGGCCGCCGUGGUCACGCCACACGUGCCCAAACUGCUGACAGCCUUCAUCAUGGUGCUUUUAAGCCCCGCCUGCACGCUGCUUUUUUCAGUCUUCAUCUUCCAGGAGCUCCAAGAGAUGCCGCUUAGCUUCCAGGACGGCUGGCUGCUCUUCCUGUCGGUCAUCUCGCAGGGCAUCCUGGACCACUCACUCUACGGCUCGCUGGUCUUCCCACUGGUCUCCCUGAUGAUCUAUCCCUGCUGGCUACUCUUCUGGAACAUUCUUUUCUGGAAGUAGACUUGAGGACAACUAUUGAGGUGAUCUCAGGUUCUUCUCCCUACAUCAACAAUACACUGGAGGCACGGAAUAUAAGGCCUGGGUGCAGAGGUGCUGGAGCCUAUCCCAGCUGCAUAGGAACGUAAGGUGGGGUACACCCUUGACAACCCAGGAAAAACCCACGCAAUCACAGGGAAAAAUGACCCCAAACCCGGGACCUUCUCUAUGUGAGGCACGAGCGCUAACCACUGUUUUGCUCAUAUUUUUGUUUUUGAUCCCAUGUUUUUACCAAUUUUUCCAGGAGAUGUACCUUGUUUUCAAAUGCAAAUGUUGAUGCUCUUCUGAUGCGCGGCAUUAGACUCACGUUUGUGAAAUCCCUUGUUUUUUGGUGCUAAAUGAACCACAACAUUAGCCCUGCAUAAAACAUGUUACUUGUCAGAUGUUUUGUAAAAAAAAAAAAACUUAGAGGAACUUCAUGAACAUAAGCCGCUGUUGUGCUCGCUGGUAGAAUGUCCACAUGUCUGUGAAUCAAAAUAUAAUUUUGUGAUUGAGAGCGAGAAUAAAAAAGUUAAACUAAA